rnacentral:rRNA from 1 species
AAAAAGCGGAGGAAAAGAAACCAACAGGGAUUGCCUCAGUAGCGGCGAGUGAAGCGGCAAAAGCUCAAAUUUGAAAUCUGGCGUCUUUGGCGUCCGAGUUGUAAUUUGAAGAAGGUAUCUUUGGGCCCGGCUCUUGUCUAUGUUCCUUGGAACAGGACGUCACAGAGGGUGAGAAUCCCGUGCGAUGAGAUGACCCGGGUCUGUGUAAAGUUCCUUCGACGAGUCGAGUUGUUUGGGAAUGCAGCUCUAAGUGGGUGGUAAAUUCCAUCUAAAGCUAAAUAUUGGCGAGAGACCGAUAGCGAACAAGUACAGUGAUGGAAAGAUGAAAAGAACUUUGAAAAGAGAGUGAAAAAGUACGUGAAAUUGUUGAAAGGGAAGGGCUUGAGAUCAGACUUGGUAUUUUGCAUGCUGCUCUCUCGGGGGCGGCCGCUGCGGUUUACCGGGCCAGCAUCGGUUUGGAGCGGCAGGAUAAUGGCGGAGGAAUGUGGCACGGCUUCUGCUUGUUUAUAGCCUCUGACGAUACUGCCAGCCUAGACCGAGGACUGCGGUUUAC